GAUGAACGCUGACAGAAUGCUUAACACAUGCAAGUCUUUGGUGAAGCUGUGCUUGCACAGCCUAGCCAAGGCGGACGGGUGAGUAACGCGUAAGGAACUUGCCCUGCAGUCAGGGAUAAAAGACGGAAACGACUGAUAAGACCUGGUAAAGUCAGGCGGACUCAUGUCCAGCCUGAUGAAAAGAGAUGCUGCAGGAGAGCCUUGCGUCCUAUUAGCUUGUUGGUGGGGUAACGGCCCACCAAGGCAAUGAUAGGUAGCCGGCCUGAGAGGGUGGACGGCCACAAGGGGACUGAGAUACGGCCCUUACUCCUACGGGAGGCAGCAGUGGGGAAUAUUGGACAAUGGGGGCAACCCUGAUCCAGCAAUUCUGUGUGCACGAUGAAGGUUUUCGGAUUGUAAAGUGCUUUCAGCAGGGAAGAAAAAAAUGACGGUACCUGCAGAAGAAGCGACGGCUAAAUACGUG
rnacentral:rRNA from 1 species